CAUGGCCUCGCUCAGUGGGUUAAGGAUCCAGAGUUGCCGUCAGCUAUGGUGUAGGUCGUAGAUGCAGAGGCUCAGAUCUCAUGUUGCUGUGGCUGUGGUGUAGCUCCAAAUAGACCUCUAUCCUAGGAACUUCCAUAUACCUCAGGUAUGGCCCUAAAAAAAAAAAAAAAGUUUUGUUUAAAAAUGAUAAUAUAAUUACUUAUUUUAUGUAAUAUAAAUUUUAAUAUGCAUAAGUAAGGUAUUUGUUUUAAAUAUUGUAAAUAGGCAGUUGACUACCUCACUUGCAUCUCUAAAUAUUUUUAUGUUGAAACUGACCGAAAAAAAAUCUUUAAUCGGAUUAUCUCAUUGGAAAAGUGGGGAGUUGCCUUAUGUCAUGAUCACCUUACAUUGUUAAGAUUUCUUAAAUUUUCUCAAAAAAUUUAUUUUCAACAUUUUCCAAAUCUGAAAGUGAGAUUCCUUUUUUUUUUUUUUUUUUUUUUUUUUUUUUGUUUUUGUUUUUGUCUUUUUGCCGUUUCUUGGGCCGCUCCCGUGACAUAUGGAGGUUCCCAGGCUAGGGGUCAAAUCGGAGAUGUAGCCACCGGCCUACACCAGAGCCAUAGCAACAGGGGAUCUGAGCCGCGUCUGCAACCCACACCACAGCUCACGGCAACGCCGGAUCGUUAACCCAAUGAGCAAGGGAAGGGAACGAACCCGCAACCUCAUGGUUCCUAGUCGGAUUCGUUAACCACUGCGCUACGACGGGAACUCCUGAAAGUGAGAUUCCUUUUACUUAUUGCUUUUCUAACCAUAUACCUUUUUUUUUUUUUUUGUCCUGUUUUGUAGGGCUUUCAGAUUCAGACAACUUUUAUUCCACAGCACUGUAAAAUAUCUUGUAACUGAAUAGAUGGCAUAAAAACAGCUAUGUGUCAGAGGUGCCAUAAAACCACGGACAAGACAGAGGAGAUCUAUGUAUGUAUAUAUAUAUACAUAUAUAUAUGGAGAGAGCAAGAGAGAGAGAGAGAUCCAUCUUAUAUACGGAGAGAGAUAAAGUCCUACGUUGGAUUAGCUGUCUGCAGAAUGUGGGUGAGCCAUUACCUCAGUUUCCCUCUAUCUCCUCUAGUCCUGAGGUCCC
rnacentral:lncRNA from 1 species